rnacentral:sRNA from 1 species
AGCUGUGCUGUAGGAUGGGACCUGGGCUUCUGUGUUGAGCAAGGACAUAUGGGCGAAGGAGAGGUCAGUCUUCACUGUUUCCAAUGGAAGAUGGAUUCUUGGAUGAUGGCCGUGGGGAUCAGCCUCUUCACAGUGGCCUGGGUUCACCUCACUGCUUCAGUCACCAGAAUGGGGAAAGAGUGGAACGAUAUUCUCGCAAGGUGUUUGUAGGCGGAUUGCCUCCAGACAUUGAUGAAGAUGAGAUCACAGCUAGUUUUCGUCGCUUUGGCCCUUUGAUUGUGGAUUGGCCUCAUAAAGCCGAGAGCAAAUCCUAUUUUCCUCCUAAAGGCUAUGCAUUCCUGCUGUUUCAAGAUGAAAGCUCUGUGCAGGCUCUCAUUGAUGCAUGCAUUGAAGAAGAUGGAAAACUCUACCUUUGUGUAUCAAGUCCCACUAUCAAGGAUAAGCCAGUCCAGAUUCGGCCUUGGAAUCUCAGUGACAGUGACUUUGUGAUGGAUGGUUCACAGCCACUUGACCCACGAAAAACUAUAUUUGUUGGUGGUGUUCCUCGACCAUUACGAGCUGUGGAGCUUGCGAUGAUAAUGGAUCGGCUAUAUGGAGGUGUGUGCUACGCUGGGAUUGAUACUGACCCUGAGCUAAAAUACCCAAAAGGAGCUGGGAGAGUUGCGUUCUCUAAUCAACAGAGUUACAUAGCUGCUAUCAGUGCCCGCUUUGUUCAGCUGCAGCAUGGAGAGAUAGAUAAACGGGUGGAAGUGAAGCCAUAUGUCCUGGAUGAUCAGCUGUGUGAUGAAUGUCAGGGGGCCCGUUGUGGGGGGAAAUUUGCUCCAUUUUUCUGUGCUAAUGUUACCUGUCUGCAGUAUUACUGUGAAUAUUGCUGGGCUGCUAUCCAUUCUCGCGCUGGCAGGGAAUUCCACAAGCCCCUGGUGAAGGAAGGCGGUGACCGCCCUCGGCAUAUUUCAUUCCGCUGGAACUAAAGGAUAACUACAGUGCUCAUUUUCAGGCCUCAGAAUAAGUGCACUCUUCUGUUAAUUCUGACCCCUUCCUCAACCUCUUCACGCUGGCAUGUCCUUUUGUAGCAGUCUGUAACUUAACUAUAGUAUAAUGAAAAGAAUGACCUAUAAUAUAGGUGUUUUGUAGAUUCUUGUGUCACUGCAAACAAUAUGAACUCCUUUUCCGUAUUGCCAUCCGGUUGCAUGGAAGUUUUAUUCUCUUGUUUUGCUGGAAACCAAGAGGAUCCAAACUUCCUGCAACAUUUUCUUAGAGGAGAGAGAGAAAUAUUAAAAGAGAAAUGAAACAAUAGAGUAUUUUGGGUUUUUAAUUAAAUUAUUGUUAAUAAUAUAACAUAUAAGAA